rnacentral:rRNA from 1 species
CCCGUUGCGCGGCCUACCAUGCAGUCGACGGUAGCACAGAGAGCUUGCUCUUGGGUGACGAGUGGCGGACGGGUGAGUAAUGUCUGGGAAACUGCCCGAUGGAGGGGGAUAACUACUGGAAACGGUAGCUAAUACCGCAUAACGUCGCAAGACCAAAGUGGGGGACCUUCGGGCCUCACACCAUCGGAUGUGCCCAGAUGGGAUUAGCUAGUAGGUGGGGUAAUGGCUCACCUAGGCGACGAUCCCUAGCUGGUCUGAGAGGAUGACCAGCCACACUGGAACUGAGACACGGUCCAGACUCCUACGGGAGGCAGCAGUGGGGAAUAUUGCACAAUGGGCGCAAGCCUGAUGCAGCCAUGCCGCGUGUAUGAAGAAGGCCUUCGGGUUGUAAAGUACUUUCAGCGAGGAGGAAGGCGUUGUGGUUAAUAACCGCAGCGAUUGACGUUACUCGCAGAAGAAGCACCGGCUAACUCCGUGCCAGCAGCCGCGGUAAUACGGAGGGUGCAAGCGUUAAUCGGAAUUACUGGGCGUAAAGCGCACGCAGGCGGUCUGUCAAGUCGGAUGUGAAAUCCCCGGGCUCAACCUGGGAACUGCAUUCGAAACUGGCAGGCUAGAGUCUUGUAGAGGGGGGUAGAAUUCCAGGUGUAGCGGUGAAAUGCGUAGAGAUCUGGAGGAAUACCGGUGGCGAAGGCGGCCCCCUGGACAAAGACUGACGCUCAGGUGCGAAAGCGUGGGGAGCAAACAGGAUUAGACGCCCUGGUAGUCCACGCCGUAAACGAUGUCGACUUGCAGGUUGUUCCCUUUGAGGAGUGGCUUCCGGAGCUAACGCGUUAAGUCGACCGCCUGGGGAGUACGGCCGCAAGGUUAAAACUUCAAAUGAAUUUGACGGGGGGCCCGGCACAAGCGGGUGGAGCAUGUGGGUUAAUUUCGAUGCAACGCGAAGAACCCUUACCUACUUCUUUGACAUCCAAAAGAAUUUAC